rnacentral:rRNA from 1 species
UACGAAGGGGGCGAGCGUUGUUCGGAUUUACUGGGCGUAAAGGGCGCGCAGGCGGUUCUGUUUGUCAGGCGUGAAAUCUCACGGCUUAACUGUGAGCGUGCGGGCGAUACGGGCAGACUGGAGUACUGCAGGGGAGACUGGAAUUCCUGGUGUAGCGGUGGAAUGCGCAGAUAUCAGGAGGAACACCGGUGGCGAAGGCGGGUCUCUGGGCAGUAACUGACGCUGAGGAGCGAAAGCGUGGGGAGCGAACAGG